rnacentral:tRNA from 1 species
GGGAAGAUAGCUCAGCCUGGGAGAGCACACCGCUGAAGACGGUGGUGUCGGGGGUUCAAAUCCCUCUCUUCCCA